GGUGGGGCUUGUGAGGGAAAAUGCGCAUGUGGAAACACCCACGGCGAACCACAGCACUGGAACCGGGUGAAAAGCCAGCAAAAAUGUCAACAUGAAGAGGAAAUAAUGAGACGAAUCCAAAGGUGGGCCUAGGAACAGAUGCUGGACCAUAUAAACAUAGAAGGGGCCUCGGGCUCAUUUUCCUUCCCACUUGCGUUACAGCCUACAGACCCGAAAGAGCUAGAGGGGGAAAGCCUUAGAAACCAAAGUUGUCACUACCUCAUAUCCACUGAGGUAAGUAUGAGCCAGUCAAAAAGCAAACUGAAAAACUGAGCAAUCUGGCUGGAAAAGGUUUCCAGCUAGUCUCUGCCAAGUUGCUUCAUUGUAAGAGUUGUUUUAAUUUUCACAAAUUCUGAGGGCACUAAAAAAAAUGUAUUCCAAAUGAAGAUGGAAAAGAAAUUAACAUCGUUGACUCCUCAUACCUCAAAGAAAUCCAAAAGGCUUCUAAGAAAUCUGCUCAAAGAAUACUGCCCUCAAGUACUACAUACCAUCAAUAAUCAAGCCAGAAUGUUUAGUUAAAAAUCAUGCCUGAAACAGAAUUUGUCACAUUUCCAGAUAUCAAGAGUAAGUCUCUAAAUGACUCCUGGAAUAUUAAAUAGCUUUCCCCCUCCCCCCCCAUUCCUAUCCCAUCAUAGCUGCCUCUUAAAUGAUGUUUAACUUCUAAACUACAGUUCAAAUUUACCAUUGGGUGUGUUAUCGACCAAGGCAGCACGAGAGCAUCGAGUCGCCCUCAGAGAGGAAGCAGGGGACCCUGUGGGGAAGGAAGUGGGGGUUCCCUUAGUCAAGGGGGACCUACCAACCUACCCACUACCCCAACUCUGGGACUAGGAAGGGAGAGAAAGACUCACGGUGCUGGUGGGCGAAAAAGCCUUCAAAGAUCACAAAGUUGUUCACCUGCAUAUUGGAAUGGGAAAAAUUAAGUGAUUUAUUCAGUCACUCCAAAACAUAAAUGGAGUACUCCCUAUUGUAGAACCUGUACUAGAAACUAUAGAGAAGAAAAAAUGAUAGCAAGCAUUUAUAUAGUGCUCACAAGGUGCCUGGUAUGAUGCUCAGCAUGCUAAGCACUUUACAAAUAUUAUUUCAGAUCUUCACAACAAUCUUGGGUGGUAUGUGCUAUGAUCUCCAUUUACAGUUGAGGAAACAGGCAACGUGGUUAAAUGACUUGCACAAGAUCAUAAAGCAAGUAAGGGUCCCAGGCCAAUGUGAAUUCAGUUCUAGAAGACAAGAACUGUAUAUAAUGGAGGACUCAGAUUCUUAUUCUCAAGUAAUAAUUAAUAAUGAUGAGAAAGGACAUCACACAUGAUAAAUUUAAGACAAUUUAUAAAGUACAAGAUCAACCACAGGUUAUAUAAUCGAGAAACAUGACAAAGAGACAAUUAAGGUAUUAUAGAUAUAAGACAUAAUGGAGUAGAUUGAGCUUUUAAACAUUACUCGGAGGAGAGGACUCUGUACAGUGGGAGGACAUUCUGAUGGUGGGGAAUAGCAUAUAUAAAGGCAAGGAUGAGAAAAGAUGAAGUAACGUUUGGAUAACAAGAUGAAUUUGCAGCAGAGGAGCCCAGAUGGGGGUGGGGGGUGCAAAAUACAUGAGAGUUAAGAUGGACAGAGUGCUAAAGUGGAAGCUUAGUACAGUGCCUAGCACAUAGGAGGAGCUUAAUAAACAUUUAUUGACUGACUGGAAGAGUCUUAGAGAUGAUUAUAGAUAAUACCUAAUAUAGAUGAGGAAAUUUCUGAUAAUCCCCAACAAAUAAUAAACAUGGCUCUUUAUUCUCAUCUGUUCUAGAGUCACAUUUCUCAGGGUUUCUAACCUGUGGUACUGUGGUCUCCAGGUUGUAGUGUUUAUUUAAGAAUCGCAACAGCUUCUCUGAGGGCCGAUCAAUAGCUAGUUGAUGUGGUUCAACCCUUUCCUUCUACAGGAUAAAAAGAAGUUCAGAAGACAGUACAGAACUGGAAAGAAGAAAUUUCUAGGGAGAUGGGGGGGGGGUCACAGGAGCAUUUGGGAGUUCAGGAGGAGACAGGUGGUCUUGGAGACAGAGACAACGGCCUAAUAUAUGAUUUGGAAGCACUUUAAAAUUAAAAACUUGUUGGUACUCAUACCUCUAACAUAUACUGAAAAAGUUUCAGCCCGUGGCCAUGGCGUUGCAGUGAUUCGUGGAUAUAAAAAUCCAGUAUGCAAAGUGGCUCUACCUCAUUAUGAGCCCCACGAUCAUCCUGAUGGUAGAGGUUGAUAUGAGGUGAGAAAAGAGGAAUACGGGGCCUAGGCAUCUCUGCUUCAUAUCCCCACCCAUCCCUAUUCCCCCAAGCAUCCCGCCCUAUAACUCACCAGUACAAAUAGUUUCUUAUAUCCAACUUUGAGAAAGCCAAUAAUAGCUCCUUUUCCAGCCCUGUGGGAAGGGGAGAGAGUGGGAGAACUCAUAGCUUAUCAUGGAAAGGGAAAAGAGAAACAAGAGGAAAAAGAAAGGGAAAGAAGGAAAAGGAAGAUUAUGUAGCUACAAGGUAUUAGUAAAGAGAAAGAAAAGAGACAUAAUUGGACAGCAUACUGGAGUCCAGCACUCACGGGCGGGCUGAGGUGUCCUUGAGCACAUACAUAACAUGUCGGUUACUCUGCAUUCUGGAAGCACUGGUGAUGGGACCAGUAAGAUGCUGCGCCUGGUAAAGUGGAAGAAUUUAUAACUUUUUUUUAACCCUUAUCUUCCACUUUAGAAUUAAUACUGUGUAUUGGUUCCAAGGCAGAAGAGUGUUAAGGGCUAGGCAAUAGGGGUUAAGUGACUUGCCCAGGGUCACACAGCUAGGAAGUGUCCAAGGCCAUAUUUGAACCUAGGACUUCCUGUCUGUAGGCCUGGCUUUCAAUCCACUAAGGUACCCAGCUAUCACCUAAGAAUGUCCUUAAGAUCUCCCUUCCCUCCCUUAAGUUCAUUCAAAGCCUCAGGCCACCCUGAGAUAGGGUCCAUAGGCCCUCUUCCAGUUACCAGUCACGGAUUUCUUCCCAAUACCUUGGCUGAUGCCUUUCCCAGUUCAUCCACAAUAGUCAUGAUUUGCUGCUGGAGAUUAACACUGCAGAGAGAGGAGAAACAAGUCACUGAAAUCAGCCUGCAUGUCCAAGUAAUGGUCCUGGGGAAGGGGGAGCUAACCUUAAUUCCAGAUCCAGGUUUUCUCCCUCAGGCACCUCUGCCUCAAGUCUCCUUCACUCCUGAUUUUGCAUCCUUCUCAUAGACCUAAGUGAGUGACGGCCCUCCACACCCUCCCAGUCCUCACCCAUCCCAUAUUCUGAUGGAAUUUGUGGGGAAGAGGAUUAAUGCCAAAGGGUUGAAAACCCCUGUAUCGCCCAGGGUGAUAGAAGAGGUGUGGUCAGAGGACAUUCCCAUCAUGUGAAAGGGCUCACUUCACUUUGGAGCUGGGACCAAAUAAAGGGCUAGACGAUGAAAGGUCGCCGAACUACGCCUCGCCCUAAUUCUACACCUUUGACCUGAGGGGGGAGGGGUCACAGGGAAAGGUAGGGGCAAAUACGGGUGAGGAAAGGAGGAGCAUGAUCGGCAGAUGAGGGGUGAGAGGUCACCGAGCCGAGGUUGUGGUUCCGGUUCGACGGGCCGGAGUACGCAGGUGUUGGUCCAGUACGGUAAUCGGCUCCGGGAACAAGGUGUCCACAUCGAACGGGAACUCCAUGGCCCAUUGUGCGGUUGGGCACGCCCCCGACCAGUACUUCCGACCUAAAGCCCCGCCUCUUCCGGAUUUUGGCCGUCUCGCCAAAACUGGGCUGGAGUUGAUACCCGCCUGCCCCACCUACACUCAACUUAUUUCUCUCUCCCGCGUUGCAGCCACAGACCAAACCGCAGACCCGACGGUGAUGGUGGUCCCGGUCCCCGUCCCGACUUCAUCGUCCAGGACAUCCUGUUAUAUCCACAAAGCUAAUUGCUAUAGCCAAGUGAUCUCUUCUCUCUCACCCAAGGGACCUCAUGGUUAACACUAUUAAUAAAAAUCUUCCUUCUGGCCCCAUA